rnacentral:rRNA from 1 species
UGCAAGUCGAACGGUAACAGGUCUUCGGAUGCUGACGAGUGGCGAACGGGUGAGUAAUACAUCGGAACGUGCCCGAUCGUGGGGGAUAACGGAGCGAAAGCUUUGCUAAUACCGCAUACGAUCUACGGAUGAAAGCAGGGGACCGCAAGGCCUUGCGCGGACGGAGCGGCCGAUGGCAKAUUAGGUAGUUGGUGGGAUAAAAGCUUASCAAGCCGACGAUCUGUAGCUGGUCUGARAGGACGACCAGCCACACUGGGACUGAGACACGGCCCASACUCCUACGGGAGGCAGCAGUGGGGAAUUUUGGACRAUGGGCGAARGCCUGAUCCAGCCAUGCCGCGUGCAGGAUGAAGGCCUUCGGGUUGUAAACUGCUUUUGUACGGAACGAAAAGACUCCUUCUAAUAAAGGGGGUCCAUGACGGUACCGUARGAAUAAGCACCGGCUAACUACGUGCCAGCAGCCGCGGUAAUACGUAGGGUGCAAGCGUUAAUCGGAAUUACUGGGCGUAAAGCGUGCGCAGGCGGUUAUAUAAGACAGAUGUGAAAUCCCCGGGCUCAACCUGGGAACUGCAUUUGUGACUGUAUAGCUAGAGUACGGCAGAGGGGGAUGGAAUUCCGCGUGUAGCARUGAAAUGCGUAGAUAUGCGGAGGAACACCGAUGGCGAAGGCRAUCCCCUGGGCCUGUACUGACGCUCAUGCACGAAAGYGUGGGGAGCAAACAGGAYUAGAUACCCUGGUAGUCCACGCCCURAACGAUGUCAACUGGUUGUUGGGAAUUCACUUUCUCARUAACGAAGCUAACGCGUGAAGUUGACCGCCUGGGGAGUACGGCCGCAAGGUUGAAAM